GAUGAACGCUAGCGAUAGGCUUAACACAUGCAAGUCGAGGGGCAGCAUGGUCUUAGCUUGCUAAGACUGAUGGCGACCGGCGCACGGGUGCGUAACGCGUAUGCAACUUGCCUCACAGAGGGGGAUAACCCGUCGAAAGACGGACUAAUACCGCGUACACUCUAUUUUGGGCAUCCAAGGUAGAGGAAAUGAAAUUCGCUGUGAGAUAGGCAUGCGUCCCAUUAGCUAGUUGGUGAGGUAACGGCUCACCAAGGCGACGAUGGGUAGGGGAACUGAGAGGUGGAACCCGCACACUGGUACUGAGACACGGACCAGACUCAUACGGGAGGCAGCAGUGAGGAAUAUUGGUCAAUGGGCGAGAGCCUGAACCAGCCAAGUCGCGUGAAGGAUGACUGUCUUAUGGAUUGUAAACUUCUUUUGUAGGGGAAUAAAGAGGGGCACGUGUGCCCCAGUGAAUGUACCCUACGAAUAAGCAUCGGCUAACUCCGUG
rnacentral:rRNA from 1 species